CCAUCCAAACUGAUUUUAAAACUCCCCAACUUAAUUUCAAACGAAUUCAAACUGCCAUAUAACUCAAAUGAAAAUCUAUAGCCACCGCGUCAGUCACUUUCCCCAAAUCUCUCAACCUGUCUUCCCUUUUUUCUGCCGACAAUAGAGGGUUCUUGCUGCCGAUCUCCGUGUGGUGCUCACUUUCCCUAAAUCUCCUUCCUUGUGCGGAGAGUAGAGGCUUGUUGCUGCGAAAUCUCUCUGCUUGGGUUCUUGUUGUUUUGCCAAGCGUAGAGUCUUGUUGCUGCCGAUCUCCAUGCGUUGCUCACUUUUUCUGGUGAGUUCUUGGACCGGAUCUUGCUGCUGAGCCUAUUUGCCGAGCAUAGAGUUCUUGUUUUGCCGAGGGUAGAGUCUUGUUGUCGAGCCUAUUUACUACAAAUCUUGGACCGGAUCUUUGAUCAGGAGGCAAUUGAGACAUAGAUUGAGGUGUCCACGUACAUCCAUCUUUUGGUAGGUAUCAAUGGCAUUCAAUUGUUGCACCUUCAUUAUGGUCACUCUGCGGGAAGUCUAGAGUCAUUUUCAUUGAACAUACAUACCCUGAUGUAAAUUGUUAAGACAUAUAUAUAUCUUAAGCAAUAGAUGUUUAUGUUGAUUAAUGUUGCCACUACGAGAUGGCACGGAUGACAUUAUUUUGAAUCAUAUAAAUGUGAAUAUAUGGUUUCGAUAGAAAAGUAUUGAAAUGCUCGUUGAUAAGAAUUACGAAAUACGGUUGUAAGAACGAAUGAUGAAAUCGAUGAAUAGAGUCACAUAGAUAGGCUUGCUUGGGCUUAGUGGGCUAUGUCCAUUGAGUUCAAGCGCUGGUCAUGGCUUGGGAUUUAGGUCGUGACAAGAUCUUUCCUCCCGGUUUCUUUGACUCUAUGGAGCAUAUGCCGAUUCAUUUACCUUACGAGGCAAAGGUUGGUGGACCCGUCUAGUAUCGAUGGAUGUAUCCAUUUGAGAGUGCAAACAAGAUUAAAUAGAGUGCCACGUAAUGAUGAUGGGGGAGACAUGGACUCUCAGGGUCGUCUUUCAAUUUUCACUCAUCUUGGGUGAGCUUUUGGUCCAUUAGAUAAAUCUCGAUUUUUAGAUGAGGAUGAGUUUUAUGCUGCUGAGCUAUAUGUUUUAAUGAAUUGUGAAGAGAUGCUCCCAUAUAUAAAGAUGUUUGAUGAAAUGAUCAAGGGAGAUGUUAUGCAUAUAUCGGAAGAUGAAUUGGAGAAAGUAUGUGAUGCAAGAUUCGUUAAAUGGUUUAAAAAUUAUGUUGCAACACGUAUGGAUGAAAUUGACCCACGUAUACUUGAAAUCUCUCAUGGUCCAAGACGUAUGAUAAGGUGUUACAAAGAAUACUUUGUAAAUAGUUUCAAGUUUCACACCUUAGAUUACGACCAAAAUCGUAAGACAAUGAAUAGUGGGGUUGCAUAAAAUGGAGUUUUUACAAUGAUUAUGAGCAUGACUUUUAUGGUAUUUUAGUGGAUAUAAUCGAGUUGGAGUAUUUUGGUAUCGAAAAUAAAGUUGUGCUAUUUAAGUGUCAUUGGUUUGACAAUGAAAAAGGUAUUAAGGUAGAUCCUUUGCAUGGUCUUGUUGAUAUUAAAUACAAUUCAAUACUUGCCAGUAAUGAACCAUUUGUUUUAGCUGCACAAGCUCAUCAAGUUUAUUAUAGUAGUUAUCCAUCAAGGAAAAGAGAUUGACAUGAUUAGUGGGCAGUAUUUAAAACAAAAGUUAAGAGUAGAUUUCACAUUCCUAGUAGUAGAGAUAGAGAAAAUGAAAUUGAUUUGAAUGAAGAAGUAUACCAACAACAUGUGUCUAUUUCAAUUAAUGGUAUUCCAUCGGAAGAACUUGAUAACUUUACAGUUUUAGCAAGUGGUAAUUAUGAAGAGGUUAAUCUCUUGAUUGAGGAUGAAGAAGAUGACAUGCAAAGAGAUGAAGAUGAAGAAAAUGACAUGGAAGGAGAUGAAAAUGAAGAUGACCAUGAAGAAGAAGAUGAACUUGAAGACGACACUUGUGAAGCUUUUAGUGAUGAUAGUGAUAAUAAUAAAGAACAUGAGUUUGCUUAUUUUGAAAGUGAUUAA